UACGAAGGGGGCUAGCGUUGUUCGGAAUUACUGGGCGUAAAGCGCGCGCAGGCGGUUCUUCAAGUCAGAGGUGAAAGCCCAGAGCUCAACUCUGGAAUGGCCUUUGAGACUAGAGAACUAGGGUACGGGAGAGGUGAGUGGAAUUCCGAGUGUAGAGGUGAAAUUCGUAGAUAUUCGGAAGAACACCAGUGGCGAAGGCGGCUCACUGGCCCGUUACCGACGCUCAGGCGCGACAGCGUGGGGAGCAAGCAGG
rnacentral:rRNA from 1 species